CUGUCUAUCUUCUCGAUCUAAAAAGCCGCUGCGAGAAGAGUCGAAGCAUUUUCGAGCUUGAACCGUCUCAGUCAUGUCGAAAAGUACAAUUUCGAAAUCGAAAAUCACUCAAAUCACUCUACAUUUGGCUGAAUUUACUGUUCGAAAACCCUAACUAAGUCAUGUAGUUGUGAUAGUGGAGCUGGGAUCGUGAUUCCGUAUAACGGAGUAUUUGAGUUUGAAUUGUCUACAAAGAGGUCUUCUCACAAUGAUUAGUCAAGUACCCAAGUAAUGGAUGUAGGAAUGAAGGAGAAGACAUGUUUUUUCCGGUGAUUCCUUGUUACCUGCUGGAGAUGUGAAUACUGAUCAGGAACUCAUGUUUUUAGAAAUGGUGUUGGAGGAUGGGGGUUCUCCUCUAUUGUUCAGUCGAGCAUUAAAUCGGAUCGACAAGUGAUUUCUGACUUUGCUCCUUUAGUAUGACUGAAUCACAGAGCUGUUUAAGGAUCUUCAAGAUGGGGUGCGACUUUGCAACAUAAACAUGAUGCCUCAUUUAUCCCGAAAAUGGUGGCUCCUUCCGAUAAUCGUAAGAAGAAUCUGGUGAAUUGUGGUGUUGCCAUGCAAUAUCUCAAACAUGCCGGGGUGCAAUUAUUUGAUUAAGAUGGAGCGAUGAUAGUAGCGGAAAUGUUGUCACAUGAGAAAAAGAAUUCACACUUUCUUUGCUAAGGAUAUGUUUAUUCAUUUACAGGUCUGUUAAUUUUUCUAUUUUUUGAAAUGUUCAUUUUGAGUACUUAUUUUAACAUCAUGGGAGGAAGAAAUGGAUUAUUAAGAUGGAGCGAUGAUAGUAGCGGAAUAUGUUGUCACAUGAGAAAAAGAACUCACACUUUCUUUGCUCUGGAUAUGUUUAUUCAUUUGCAGUUGCCUCAGCUCGUUAACAAAUGCUGUUAUUUGAAGAAGUAUCUACGGUUCAAGGAGCCAAUGUGGACUACUCAAGAUGUAUUACCCCUGGCUGGUUGGAUUUGCUUCUGGAAUGGAUCCAGGUAAUAAUAACGUGUGCCUAAUUUCAAGCAAUUUUUGUAUGUUCGCCAUUAUUUCAACGGAAAAAAGAAGAACCAACUUAUAAAGGCCGGCAGAUGAUACAACUCAACAUUCACAGAAAUGUUGUGACACACUCGUUGCUGCCAGAGUUCAUAAGCUCCAUAAGCCAUAGCGUUCCUGAUCUGGAGUUUGCGAAAUAGGCACAUUGUAUAUCAACGGGGGUCAGAAAAGGCUAUAUUGAAAUGGUGUGCUGGUCUGAAGUCUGAACAUCUUAUAAGCCUUGAACUUACUAAGAGUCUUUUCUGGUGGUUAUUUUUUUUAAGUGGUAAAAAAUAAAGAACUGUAGUUUUAAGUGGUAAUUUCUUUUUUUUUUUUUGCCAUUUAAAUAAAUUUUCAUAAUUACCGUGGUUUGUCAAAUUACCCAGCCGUCUACUCUCUGUAGUAUAUAUAAGUGUAGCGAGAGGAAAAAGAAAGUCGGGUCAGUCAGCAACAAACACAAACACUCAUCAUCAUACAAGUUUUUUCGAUUGUGAAUUAAACAAUGGGAGGAUCACGAAAACGUUCAUCAUCAUCAGAUUUUAGUCCUAUGGAAGAAGUAGAAUAUUACAUUUGUGAGAAAAAGAAAGUGAAACAGGGAGAAGCUGAGUAUUACUUUUGUGAGAACAAAAAAGGUAGACAGGGGAAUGAUAAUCAACAAGGUAUCGAGAGAAAGAAAGAGAAGAAGGAGAAGGAUCAGAAAAGGAAGAAGGAAAGAGGAAGGAAGGAGGCCCAGAAAGAAGAAUUAGAAAUAGAAGAUAAUGAUUUCUUCUCACUCUCAGAAGUCCCAUCAAGAACACUUCAAGAAGCAGCAGCAAAUGAUCAAUCAUCAAGAACGCCACCAGAAGCAGCAACAAAUGCUAAUCAACUUGUUGUUCAUAAGGUCGGCAUAGUGGAUUAUACUAUCAAUAUAAAGGAUGCUGAGCAUGUGGAGUGCCUGGAAGCUUAAGAAGCAGUCAAGCGGGCAGUUGCAUAUGAUUACAAGAAGGUUUUUUUCGAGGCACACACUAAGGUUCUGGUGAAAGCGUUAUUGGACAAGGAAGAACAAAAUGCACAAAAAUGAGGUACCUAUGCCCGUAGGUCUUGUUUAACUAAGGAAUGACCAUAGAGGCACCACCUAGUGCUGAUCUUUUUGCUACGUAUGCCCGUAGGUCUUGCUUAACUGUGGAUUGGCCAGGGAGACACCACUUACUCUUGUAGCUGCUGCUAACACAGGGCAAUGUUGCUCUUUCAAGUUAUUUAUUAUUCGAAUAGGCAUAUUUCCUUCGCAUUUGAACCUAUUACUGACAGUCGCUAAGAAAUGCUGGACAUCUGCUCAACUUUAUCCCCUGUGAAUACCAUCUUCUCCAUCAGUUUCAUCAGUAACCCUAACUUCAGCCACUAAUCCAUCACAGCAAUUUCUCCUGUUCUUCAGUUGCAGAUACUGAAACCCUAAUUUCAUCAUCUAUGUGCCAUUUCAUAUCUCAACAUCAAUCUCAGAUCCCCUUCCAAUCUCCAUCUGUUGGGCAGUGACAUCACCCAAUUUUCUCUUUUUUAUCUUGGAUUUACAGCAACCUCUAUUCCAUCUCAAACUCUCAAUUUCUCUAUCCAUUUCCUAUUUCUCGAUCUCAAUCAACUCAUGGGUUUUGUCGAAGAAGAAAAGUAUGGCAGGGAUUUGUUGCAGAAGAAGAAGAAAAAUAUGGCAGGAGGAACGCGCUAGGUUUAUUCACGGAUGUAUUGUACACUUAACGGACGUGAGUAACGUCCAGUUAAGUUUUUGGUGUAAACCAAGUGUAAGUUAUUAGUUAGCUGUAAAUCCACAUAUAAGUGUUGUAUACCCACGUUUUUGCUAACGGGAUUACAAACGGCCAGUUAAAUACAAGAUGUAAACAAAGUAUUAUUCAAAUUUUAAUGCUCCGACCAAUAAAGUCUCGCCAC